rnacentral:lncRNA from 1 species
GGGAUAAUGAAAGCUUUAGACAUCAAUCUUGAUAUACUAAUUAUUUGUUAGAGGAUAAGAAGCCAUUUCAAAUUUAUUUCGAUAUCCUUGAAUCACAUGCAGACAGCUCCAGUCGGAAAGACAAUUGACAUAGCACGGUAGCCUAGGGUUUUGAGAGAGAAAAAUUUAAAAAAAAAAAGAAAAGAUAAAUAGAAUCCAUAAUCACGGGGAUUUACAACAACUAACUAAGUUGCCACAACCACAGUUACACAGUUAUUAAGCUCUCACUUCAACAAGGAAAAUCAAAUAUUUUGUUCAGAAGCAGGCUGUUCAAUAAUUAUGCAUUGGUCAUACAUCUACAGGGUGCCUACAUAGCCAAACUAACUAAAAUCCUUAAAUGGGAAAACAAUAAUAAAAUAAGAUUGCUAAUUAAGUAAGAAAUAAAAUCUUAAUGAAAUGCAAAGUCUGGUUAAGGUACAAUAAUUAUGGUAGCAAUUCUACAUUCAUAGCAAACUAUGAGAUGGUCCUGCAUCAUGCUUCCUCCCUGCAAAAGAAUCCGACUCAGAAGAGGAAUCCUAGACUGUGGAUAUCAGGAAGUCAGGAUCCAUCAUAAGUAAUCAAUCUUAACUUGCCCACAGAGUGCCUGAAUUUGGAUGAUUUUUCCAUCUCAUAAGGAAUCAAUUGAGGCAAAUUAUCCAUUAACCGAAUAUCCCCAGUAAUGUCUAUUGGUGAAGAUAGCAAUAUUGGAGAAUUAAGAUACUGAGAAUUUGUGAAAACACUUAUAAGAAAAGUAGGUGGCUCAGAGCUGCCUCAAUUCGGGAAAAAAUCCUCUAUGAUGGAACUCAAAUAAUAUCUCUGUGACAAGUAAAUCAAGUAAUAAUAUUAGGUAUAAGCUCUCUAAAUGAAAUAAGGGUCCACAUCUCUAAGCUUGCUAUUAUGUCCUGAUCAUGAUGUAACGGUCCCAGAAAUUUAAAUGAAAUGUAUGUAUUAAAAAUCUCAAAUGCAGAAGCGUAAUAAAAAUUUUGAUUAACAUCCCUUACACAAUAAGCA